rnacentral:rRNA from 1 species
UACGUAGGGGGCGAGCGUUGUCCGGAUUUACUGGGCGUAAAGCGCGUGUAGGCGGCUGGGCAAGUCCGGUGUGAAAGCCCGGGGCUCAACCCCGGGACGCCGCCGGAAACUGACCAGCUUGAGGCCGGAAGAGGGGCGUGGAAUUCCUGGUGUAGCGGUGAAAUGCGUAGAGAUCAGGAGGAACACCCGUGGCGAAGGCGGCGCCCUGGUCCGGCCCUGACGCUCAGACGCGAAAGCGUGGGGAGCGAACGGG